GGGCCCGUGGCCCAGCCAGGAUAGGGCGGCGGCCUUCUAAGCCGCAAAUCGUGGGUUCAAAUCCCACCGGGCCCG
rnacentral:tRNA from 1 species